AUACGAAGGUCCCAAGCGUUAUUCGUAAUCACUGGGCGUAAAGAGUACGUAGGCGGUUUGGUAAGUCAGGUGUGAAAUCCCGGAGCUCAACUCCGGAACUGCAUCCGAUACUGCCAGACUUGAGUAAUGGAGAGGCAGGUGGAAUUCUCGGUGUAGCAAUGAAAUGCGUGGAUAUCGAGAGGAAGACCAAUGGCGAAGGCAGCCUGCUGGACAUUUACUGACGCUGAGGUACGAAGGCUAGGGGAGCGAAAGGGAUUAGAAACCCCGGUAGUCC
rnacentral:rRNA from 1 species